CUACAAAUGAAUUGACGGGGCCGCACAAGCGGUGGAGCAUGUGGUUUAAUUCGACGCAACGCGAAGAACCUUACCAGGGCUUGACAUCCCCUGACCGCGUAUGAAAGUACGUUUUCACCUCGGGUGACAGGGAGACAGGUGGUGCAUGGUUGUCGUCAGCUCGUGUCGUGAGAUGUUGGGUUAAGUCCCGCAACGAGCGCAACCCCUACGUUUAGUUGCUAACGCGUGAAGGCGAGCACUCUAGACGAACUGCCGUUGACAAAACGGAGGAAGUGGGGAUGACGUCAAAUCAUCAUGCCCCUUAUGUUCUGGGCUACACACGUGCUACAAUGGCCGGUACAGACGGACGCAAAGCCGCGAGGUGGAGCAAAUCCGAAAAAGCCGGUCUCAGUUCGGAUUGCAGGCUGCAAUUCGCCUGCAUGAAGUCGGAAUCGCUAGUAAUCGCAGGUCAGCAUACUGCGGUGAAUACGUUCCCGGGCCUU
rnacentral:rRNA from 1 species